CUACUAUGGAGAGUUUGAUCCUGGCUCAGGACGAACGCUGGCGGCGUGCCUAAUACAUGCAAGUCGAGCGGAGUAUUUCCUUCGGGGAAUGCUUAGCGGCGGACGGGUGAGUAACACGUAGGUAACCUGCCUAUCAGAUCGGGAUAACUAUCGGAAACGAUAGCUAAGACCGGAUAA
rnacentral:rRNA from 1 species